rnacentral:rRNA from 1 species
GAUGAACGCUGGCGGCGUGCCUAAUACAUGCAAGUCGAGCGAACGGACGAGAAGCUUGCUUCUCUGAUGUUAGCGGCGGACGGGUGAGUAACACGUGGAUAACCUACCUAUAAGACUGGGAUAACUUCGGGAAACCGGAGCUAAUACCGGAUGAUAUUUUGAACCGCAUGGUUCAAAAGUGAAAGACGGUCUUGCUGUCACUUAUAGAUGGAUCCGCGCUGCAUUAGCUAGUUGGUAAGGUAACGGCUUACCAAGGCAACGAUGCAUAGCCGACCUGAGAGGGUGAUCGGCCACACUGGAACUGAGACACGGUCCAGACUCCUACGGGAGGCAGCAGUAGGGAAUCUUCCGCAAUGGGCGAAAGCCUGACGGAGCAACGCCGCGUGAGUGAUGAAGGUCUUCGGAUCGUAAAACUCUGUUAUUAGGGAAGAACAUAUGUGUAAGUAACUGUGCACAUCUUGACGGUACCUAUCAGAAAGCCACGGCUAACUACGUG